rnacentral:rRNA from 1 species
UCAUGGCUCAGGACGAACGCUGGCGGCGUGCUUAACACAUGCAAGUCGAACGGAAAGGCCCUGCUUUUGUGGGGUGCUCGAGUGGCGAACGGGUGAGUAACACGUGAGUAACCUGCCCUUGACUUUGGGAUAACUUCAGGAAACUGGGGCUAAUACCGGAUAGGAGCUCCUGCUGCAUGGUGGGGGUUGGAAAGUUUCGGCGGUUGGGGAUGGACUCGCGGCUUAUCAGCUUGUUGGUGGGGUAGUGGCUUACCAAGGCUUUGACGGGUAGCCGGCCUGAGAGGGUGACCGGCCACAUUGGGACUGAGAUACGGCCCAGACUCCUACGGGAGGCAGCAGUGGGGAAUAUUGCACAAUGGGCGGAAGCCUGAUGCAGCAACGCCGCGUGCGGGAUGACGGCCUUCGGGUUGUAAACCGCUUUCGCCUGUGACGAAGCGUGAGUGACGGUAAUGGGUAAAGAAGCACCGGCUAACUACGUGCCAGCAGCCGCGGUGAUACGUAGGGUGCGAGCGUUGUCCGGAUUUAUUGGGCGUAAAGGGCUCGUAGGUGGUUGAUCGCGUCGGAAGUGUAAUCUUGGGGCUUAACCCUGAGCGUGCUUUCGAUACGGGUUGACUUGAGGAAGGUAGGGGAGAAUGGAAUUCCUGGUGGAGCGGUGGAAUGCGCAGAUAUCAGGAGGAACACCAGUGGCGAAGGCGGUUCUCUGGGCCUUUCCUGACGCUGAGGAGCGAAAGCGUGGGGAGCGAACAGGCUUAGAUACCCUGGUAGUCCACGCUGUAAACGGUGGGUACUAGGUGUGGGGUCCAUUCCACGGGUUCCGUGCCGUAGCUAACGCUUUAAGUACCCCGCCUGGGGAGUACGGCCGCAAGGCUAAAACUCAAAGGAAUUGACGGGGCCCCGCACAAGCGGCGGAGCAUGCGGAUUAAUUCGAUGCAACGCGUAGAACCUUACCUGGGUUUGACAUGGAUCGGGAGUGCUCAGAGAUGGGUGUGCCUCUUUUGGGGUCGGUUCACAGGUGGUGCAUGGCUGUCGUCAGCUCGUGUCGUGAGAUGUUGGGUUAAGUCCCGCAACGAGCGCAACCCUUGUUCACUGUUGCCAGCACGUUAUGGUGGGGACUCAGUGGAGACCGCCGGGGUCAACUCGGAGGAAGGUGGGGAUGACGUCAAGUCAUCAUGCCCCUUAUGUCCAGGGCUUCACGCAUGCUACAAUGGCUGGUACAGAGAGUGGCGAGCCUGUGAGGGUGAGCGAAUCUCGGAAAGCCGGUCUCAGUUCGGAUUGGGGUCUGCAACUCGACCUCAUGAAGUCGGAGUCGCUAGUAAUCGCAGAUCAGCAACGCUGCGGUGAAUACGUUCCCGGGGCUUGUACACACCGCCCGUCAAGUCAUGAAAGUUGGUAACACCCGAAGCCGGUGGCCUAACCGUUGUGGGGGAGCCGUCGAAGGUGGGACUGGUGAUUAGGACUAAGUCGUAACAAGGU